CUUCCGUGGAUACCGUUCACCAUCAAAGGCGGGGACCCCCGAUGUCGAGUCUGUACCCACGACGAGGAACGGAAACAUCUGUUCUUCUUGUUAUCUUUUUUAAAAUGUGUCACGGUAAUUAAGUCGCCAUAUGGCAUAUGGGAAUGUUAACGGGACUUGAUUGCUCGCAUCAUAGUAUGACGAUUAUAAAUUCAUUGCUAACAAUCAUUCAUUACUUCGAACACAGCUGCUAACAGUCAUUCGUUACUUUGGACACAGCCAUGGACCCCUUUGAAACCGAAGAAGAAUUUACCUGCCCACCCCUCUCGCUCCCUCAAGCGUCACCACUACCGUCGUCUCCAGCAGUCCUGACGCCACCACGAGCGCCAUGGAUAGUGAUGAUGACGACGUGUUUAUCUACACGCCCUCCACCAUCGUCGCUUCCGGCAGCCCUGUCGCCACCACAAGCGCCACCGUCGCCAACCCUAUAUUAAGGUCUAUUUUGAAGACCCCCUAUAUGGGCAGACAGGAACAAAAACGAGUUCUUGCAAUGAUCAUCAGGUCAUUGCAAGAGUUUCACGAUACACUGUAAAUAAAAAAAUAAAAUAAAA